GACGAACGCUGGCGGCGUGCCUAAUACAUGCAAGUCGAACGCUUCUUUCCUCCCGAGUGCUUGCACUCAAUUGGAAAGAGGAGUGGCGGACGGGUGAGUAACACGUGGGUAACCUACCCAUCAGAGGGGGAUGACACUUGGAAACAGGUGCUAAUACCGCAUAACAGUUUAUGCCGCAUGGCAUAAGAGUGAAAGGCGCUUUCGGGUGUCGCUGAUGGAUGGACCCGCGGUGCAUUAGCUAGUUGGUGAGGUAACGGCUCACCAAGGCCACGAUGCAUAGCCGACCUGAGAGGGUGAUCGGCCACACUGGGACUGAGACACGGCCCAGAUUCCUACGGGAGGCAGCAGUAGGGAAUCUUCGGCAAUGGACGAAAGUCUGACCGAGCAACGCCGCGUGAGUGAAGAAGGUUUUCGGAUCGUAAAACUCUGUUGUUAGAGAAGAACAAGGACGUUAGUAACUGAACGUCCCCUGACGGUAUCUAACCAGAAAGCCACGGCUAACUACGUG
rnacentral:rRNA from 1 species